rnacentral:rRNA from 1 species
GACGAACGCUGGCGGCGUGCCUAACACAUGCAAGUCGAACGGAAAGGCCGGGCUUUGGUGCGGAUGGCGAGGUGAGACGGGGGGAGUUACACGUGAGUUAGCCGUACCUGACUGAGUGAGGUCCUCAGGAAACAUGAGGUAAUACCGCAAAAGAGCUAUUGCUGCUGGGUGGGCGUUGGAAAGAUUCGGCGGUUGGGGGUGGACUCGCGGCUCAUGGGCUUGUUGGGUGGGUAGUGGCUGAGCAAGGCUUGCAACGGUAGCCGACCUGGGCGGGCGGCCGGCCACAUUGCGCCUGAGCUACGGCGCAGACUCCUACGGUAGGCAGCGGUGGGGAAUAUUGCACAGUGGGCGGAAGCCUGAUGCGGCCACGCCGCGUGCGGGAUGACGUCCUUCGGGUUGUAAACCACUUUCGCCUGUGACGAAGCGUGAGUGACGGUACUGGGUAAAGAAGCACCGGCUAACUACGUG